rnacentral:misc_RNA from 1 species
UCUCGGCUUAUCACCGGCAGUCCCCCUAGAGUGCCCAACUGAAUGUAGCAACUAAUGACAAGGGUUGCGCUCGUUGCGGGACUUAACCCAACAUCUCACGACACGAGCUGACGACAGCCAUGCAGCACCUGUGUUACGGCUCUCUUUCGAUCACGCCCCGAUCUCUCGGGGCUUCCGUACAUGUCAAGGGUAGGUAAGGUUUUUCGCGUUGCAUCGAAUUAAUCCACAUCAUCCACCGCUUGUGCGGGUCCCCGUCAAUUCCUUUGAGUUUUAAUCUUGCGACCGUACUCCCCAGGCGGAAUGCUUAAUCCGUUAGGUGUGACACCGAAGAGCAAGCCCCCCGACGUCUGGCAUUCAUCGUUUACGGCAUGGACUAC